ACGGGAAAUCUCACCAGGCCCGGACACUGGCAGGAUUGACAGAUUGAGAGCUCUUUCUCGAUUCGGUGGGUGGUGGUGCAUGGCCGUUCUUAGUUGGUGGAGUGAUUUGUCUGGUUAAUUCCGAUAACGAACGAGACUCUGUCCUGCUAAAUAGUCCCACCGUCUCUUAUUGCGGUGGGAAUUCUUCUUAGAGGGACUGGCGGCAUCUAGUCGCACGAGAUUGAGCAAUAA
rnacentral:rRNA from 1 species